UACGGAGGGUGCAAGCGUUAAUCGGAAUUACUGGGCGUAAAGCGUGCGUAGGCGGUUCGUUAAGUCUGCUGUGAAAGCCCCGGGCUCAACCUGGGAAUGGCAGUGGAUACUGGCGGGCUAGAGUGUGAUAGAGGAUGGUGGAAUUCCCGGUGUAGCGGUGAAAUGCGUAGAGAUCGGGAGGAACAUCAGUGGCGAAGGCGGCCAUCUGGAUCAACACUGACGCUGAGGCACGAAAGCGUGGGGAGCAAACAGG
rnacentral:rRNA from 1 species